rnacentral:lncRNA from 12 species
AUGACCUCUACUGAUAAGGCAAUUUUCAAAAUAAAGGAGAAGGAGGAGCAAGAAAAGGAGAGGAAGAAAGAGCACUAUGAUCGCGGGGUUACACAGAUGGCCGGAAAAAUCUCAGCACUUCGUGGUUCCUGGAACAUGAAGCUGGCAGGAUUUAAUAGUAAGAAUAAAAUUUUGUAAUGGAGGUGAAUGGACCACACUGAUUAUUUCUGCAAGAAUAUAUUCUGCCUAAUGUUGUGGUUUACCCUAUUGUGGAAGACUCGGCUGACUUCUGCUGAUCUCAGAAAUUAGUAGGUAUAUUCACACUCGUUUUCUUGAAAUUUGUGUGUCAUUGCACACAUUUUUCCAGAUUUUAUAAACUCUGAUAAACCAUAUCAUUUGCUCAGGAAUAAAUAUA